GCACAAGCGGUGGAGCAUGUGGUUUAAUUCGACGCAACGCGAAGAACCUUACCUGGGCUCGAAAUGUAGAGGAAUCCGGUAGAAAUAUCGGCGCCUAGCAAUAGGCCUCUAUAUAGGUGCUGCAUGGCUGUCGUCAGCUCGUGUCGUGAGAUGUUGGGUUAAGUCCCGCAACGAGCGCAACCCUUAUUACCAGUUGCUACCAUUUAGUUGAGCACUCUGGUGAGACUGCCUCGGAUAACGGGGAGGAAGGCGGGGAUGACGUCAAGUCCUCAUGGCCUUUAUGUCCAGGGCUACACACGUGCUACAAUGGCCGGUACAAACCGUCGCAAACCCGUGAGGGGGAGCUAAUCGGAAAAAGCCGGCCUCAGUUCGGAUUGGAGUCUGCAACUCGACUCCAUGAAGCUGGAAUCGCUAGUAAUCGCAGAUCAGAACGCUGCGGUGAAUACGUUCCCGGGC
rnacentral:rRNA from 1 species